rnacentral:rRNA from 1 species
CGGGACGGGGUGGAGUUAAUGUCGUAGGGAAACUGCCCGAUGGAGGGGGAUAACUACUGGAAACGGUAGCUAAUACCGCAUAACGUCGCAAGACCAAAGAGGGGGACCUUCGGGCCUCUUGCCAUCGGAUGUGCCCAGAUGGGAUUAGCUAGUAGGUGGGGUAACGGCUCACCUAGGCGACGAUCCCUAGCUGGUCUGAGAGGAUGACCAGCCACACUGGAACUGAGACACGGUCCAG